UACGAAGGGUGCAAGCGUUACUCGGAAUUACUGGGCGUAAAGCGUGCGUAGGUGGUCUGUUAAGUCUGAUGUGAAAGCCCUGGGCUCAACCUGGGAAUUGCAUUGGAUACUGGCAGGCUAGAGUGCGGUAGAGGGUAGUGGAAUUCCCGGUGUAGCAGUGAAAUGCGUACGAGAUCGGGAGGAACACCAGUGGCGAAGGCGACUACCUGGACCAGCACUGACACCUGAGGCA
rnacentral:rRNA from 1 species